GACGUCCUGUGGCCAGAUCGACAGGCAUCCUGGGCUGUGGAGCCCAUUUUUCUACUUAAAAUUCAGUCUUUUCCCUAUUCUGCUGCAAACUGCGAUUUGAGAUCAACAGGAAAAUAGGUCACUUUAUUCUCUUUUACCUUGAUUCUUUUUCAGUAACAGAGGAGUAUUCAAGCUGUAGUCGGCAUCCAUGCCAAAAUGGUGGCACGUGUAUAAAUGGAAGAACUAGCUUUACCUGUGCCUGCAGACAUCCUUUUACUGGUGACAACUGCACUAUUAAGCUUGUGGAAGAAAAUGCUUUAGCUCCAGAUUUUUCCAAAGGAUCUUACAGAUAUGCACCCAUGGUGGCAUUUUUUGCAUCUCAUACGUAUGGAAUGACUACACCUGGUCCUAUCCUGUUUAAUAACUUGGAUGUCAAUUAUGGAGCUUCAUAUACCCCAAGAACUGGAAAAUUUAGAAUUCCGUAUCUUGGAGUAUAUGUUUUCAAGUACACCAUCGAGUCAUUUAGUGCUCAUAUCUCUGGAUUUUUAGUGGUUGAUGGAAUAGACAAGCUUGCAUUUGAGUCUGAAAAUAUUAACGGUGAAAUACACUGUGAUAGGGUUUUAACUGGGGAUGCCUUAUUAGAAUUAAAUUAUGGGCAGGAAGUCUGGUUACGACUUGCAGAAGGAACAAUUCCAGCCAAGUUUCCCCCUGUUACUACAUUUAGCGGCUACUUAUUAUAUCGUACAUAAGUUAGUACGAGAAACAGACUAUCACCUUUAUUGAGAA
rnacentral:sRNA from 1 species